AAAUUUGAAUUUCAGGUGAACACUGAAUAGUUUUUAGUAUAAGUAUAUCCCAUGCAAUAUUUGGGACAUACUUAUACUAAAAAGUCUGUGGUU
rnacentral:miRNA from 1 species